AGAGCAUUCACCCCUCAGCUGAUACCUGAUCCAUGCCUUCUAUGUGCCCUUGGGCAAACUGCUACGAAAUUGGCGGCUGAAAGAAACUGUCUCUCUCCCCACAACAGCAAGCCAUUUGAUGCAGGACUUUUCCUGUCCCAGGAAAUAAAGAAUUGGCACGAAAGGAUCAUCUCUGACCUGGAUGGAGCUUGAACUGGAAUUCCAGGAGCUGGUCUGCUGAAACAGCUGCAAUUAAACAGAACAUAACUGCAUUAUGUCUGCUGACUUUCCUGUGCAGGGUAAGAGGCGCCUGCACAGUGCCUGCUACCGAUCCUGUGAAAACAAGGACAGCAGUAGCAGUGCAAGCACAGUGGAUUGGACUUCCCAUCAGUGUAGAAACUGUGGCCCUCAGGUUCCCAGGAUGACAUGCCCAGCCUGAUUUGUGGUUCCCCAACCAAGGCCAGUUGGAUCCUGAGAGCUGCUGAAGUUCAGCACUGGGUAGCUGCAGAGCUCCUCUUGGGAAGGCAGAGACCUUUCUGACCAGUUCUGCAGGCAUCUGCAGGUUUGUGGAAGGGAAGAGGGACCUUUGGAGCCUGUGUCACAAGGUUUCUUUGGCUUUAAAAAAUAUAUUUUUUUAUUUAUUUAUUUAUAUGUGUGUGUGUGUGUGUGUAUAUAGCAGCUUACUAAGCAAGCAUCAAACACAUCCUUGGGGAGGCCUGCAGAAGGCAGCUGUUCUUUGCCUUUCUUCCUCCUUGUAGGUGUGCUACAGCCUCUUCAGGCAGCAGAUUCCUGUAGCCUGGUGUAAAGUGUUCGUGUGCUGCUUUUCCUGCUGGGUUCCCUGUUUCGGGAAGGGGAGGAGGAGAGGGGUGGGCAAGCAGGUUGGGGUUGGCAACCUGCUGCUUGUCCUUUAUCUUGUCAUUUGCCAGCUCUCCCUGUUACUUCUCUCUCCAGCCUAUUCUUUCCCUGUUCUUAAUUACACAGUCAUCCUUGAGUAAAUGAAAUAAUUAUUGU
rnacentral:lncRNA from 1 species